GAUGAAGAACGCAGCGAAAUGCGAUACGUAAUGUGAAUUGCAGAAUUCAGUGAAUCAUCGAGUCUUUGAACGCACAUUGCGCCCCCUGGUAUUCCGGGGGGCAUGCCUGUCCGAGCGUCAUUGCUGCCCUCAAGCACGGCUUGUGUGUUGGGCCUCCGUCCUCCUCCCGGGGGACGGGCCCGAAAGGCAGCGGCAGCACCGCGUCCGGUCCUCGAGCGUAUGGGGCUUCGUCACCCGCUCUUGUAGGCCCGGCCGGCGCUUGCCGACACAUCAAUCUUUUUUCCAGGUUGACCUCGGAUCAGGUAGGGAUACCCGCUGAACUUAAGCAUAUCAAUAAGCGGAGGA
rnacentral:misc_RNA from 1 species